UACGGAGGGGGCAAGCGUUAUUCGGAAUUAUUGGGCGUAAAGGGCGCGUAGGCGGCUAGAUGUGUCAAAGGUGAAAUCCCUCGGCUCAACUGAGGAACUGCCUUUGAAACUGUCUGGCUUGAGGCCGGGAGAGGGUAGCGGAAUUCCCAGUGUAGCGGUGAAAUGCGUAGAUAUUGAGAGGAACACCAGUGGCGAAGGCGGCUACCUGGACCGGUUCUGACGCUGAGGCGCGAAAGCGUGGGUAGCAAACAGG
rnacentral:rRNA from 1 species